GAUGAACGCUGGCGGCGUGCCUAAUACAUGCAAGUCGAGCGAACAGACGAGGAGCUUGCUCCUCUGACGUUAGCGGCGGACGGGUGAGUAACACGUGGAUAACCUACCUAUAAGACUGGGAUAACUUCGGGAAACCGGAGCUAAUACCGGAUAAUAUAUUGAACCGCAUGGUUCAAUAGUGAAAGACGGUUUUGCUGUCACUUAUAGAUGGAUCCGCGCCGCAUUAGCUAGUUGGUAAGGUAACGGGUUACCAAGGCGACGAUGCGUAGCCGACCUGAGAGGGUGAUCGGCCACACUGGAACUGAGACACGGUCCAGACUCCUACGGGAGGCAGCAGUAGGGAAUCUUCCGCAAUGGGCGAAAGCUUGACGGAGCAACGCCGCGUGAGUGAUGAAGGUCUUCGGAUCGUAAAACUCUGUUAUUAGGGAAGAACAAAUGUGUAAGUAACUAUGCACGUCUUGACGGUACCUAAUCAGAAAGCCACGGCUAACUACGUG
rnacentral:rRNA from 1 species